rnacentral:rRNA from 1 species
AGUCGCACGAGAAAGUCGGCUUCGGUCGGCGAGUAAAGUGGCGCACGGGUGAGUAACACGUGGAUAACCUACCCAUCGGUGGGGGACAACUGGCCGAAAGGCUUGCUAAUACCGCAUAAGACCACGCCGUCUCCGGACGGAGGGGUUAAAGGCGGCCUCUACAUGUAAGCUGUCGCCAAUGGAUAAAUCCGCGGCCCAUCAGCUAGUUGGUAGGGUAACGGCCUACCAAGGCUAAGACGGGUAGCUGGUCUGAGAGGAUGGCCAGCCACACUGGAACUGAGACACGGUCCAGACUCCUACGGGAGGCAGCAGUGGGGAAUAUUGGGCAAUGGGCGAAAGCCUGACCCAGCCACGCCGCGUGAGUGAUGAAGGUCUUCGGAUCGUAAAGCUCUGUGGGGAGGGAAGAAACACCUGCGCGAAUAAUACCGCGCGGGCCUGACGGUACCUCCUUAGCAAGCACCGGCUAACUCCGUGCCAGCAGCCGCGGUAAUACAGAGGUCUCAAGCGUUGUUCGGAAUCACUGGGCGUAAAGGGUGCGUAGGCGGCGUGGAAAGUCAGGUGUGAAAUCCGAGGGCUCAACCCUCGAAUUGCAUCCGAAACUCCCACGCUAGAGAUUUGUAGAGGAGUCUGGAACUCUCGGUGUAGCAGUGAAAUGCGUAGAUAUCGAGAAGAACGCUCGUGGCGAAGGCGAGACUCUGGGCAAUUUCUGACGCUGAUGCACGAAGGCUAGGGGAGCAAACGGGAUUAGAUACCCCGGUAGUCCUAGCUGUAAACGGUGCGCGCUUGGUGCGGGGGGAAUCGACCCCCUCUGUGCCGGAGCUAACGCGUUAAGCGCGCCGCCUGGGAAGUACGAUCGCAAGAUUAAAACUCAAAGAAAUUGACGGGGACCCGCACAAGCGGUGGAGUAUGUGGCUUAAUUCGAUGCAACGCGAAGAACCUUACCUGGGUUUGACAUGCUCUGUGUCUCCUGUGAAAGCAGGAUAGUGCAGCAAUGCACGCGGAGCACAGGUGCUGCAUGGCUGUCGUCAGCUCGUGUCGUGAGAUGUUGGGUUAAGUCCCGCAACGAGCGCAACCCCUAUGUUUUGUUGCUAGUGCUUACGCACGCACUCAAAUCAGACUGCCCAGAUAAACUGGGAGGAAGGUGGGGACGACGUCAAGUCCGUAUGGCCCUUACACCCAGGGCUGCACACGUACCACAAUGUUCAAUACACUAUGCUUCGAGUCCGCAAGGAGGAGAAGAUCACAAAAAUUGAACCCAGUUCAGAUUGCAGGCUGCAACUCGCCUGCAUGAAGUCGGAAUCGCUAGUAAUGGCACAUCAGCUACGGUGCCGUGAAUACGUUCCCGGGUCUUGUACACACCGCCCGUCACAUCAUGGAAGCUUGUUUUGCCUAAAGCGUCCGUUUGCAACCGCAAGGAGCGCGGGCCCAAAGGCAAUACUGGCAACUAGGAUG